rnacentral:rRNA from 1 species
GGUGAACGCUGGCGGCGUGCUUAAGACAUGCAAGUCGAACGCAGUCUUCGGACUGAGUGGCGCACGGGUGAGUAACACGUAACUGACCUACCCCCAAGUCGCGGAUAACUGGCCGAAAGGUCAGCUAAUACGUGAUGUGAUGUCCCCUUUCUGGGGGGCCAUUAAAGGUUUACUGCUUGGGGAUGGGGUUGCGUUCCAUCAGCUAGUUGGCGGGGUAAAGGCCCACCAAGGCAACGACGGAUAGCCGGCCUGAGAGGGUGGCCGGCCACAGGGGCACUGAGACACGGGUCCCACUCCUACGGGAGGCAGCAGUUAGGAAUCUUCCACAAUGGGCGAAAGCCUGAUGGGGCGACGCCGCGUGAGGGAUGAAGGUUCUCGGAUCGUAAACCUCUGAAUCAGGGACGAAAGACGCGUAAGCGGGAUGACGGUACCUGAGUAAUAGCACCGGCUAACUCCGUGCCAGCAGCCGCGGUAG